CAGCAGCCACGGUAAUACGAAGGGUGCAAGCGUUAAUCGGAAUUACUGGGCGUAAAGCGUGCGUAGGUGGUGGUUUAAGUCCGUUGUGAAAGCCCUGGGCUCAACCUGGGAAUUGCAGUGGAUACUGGGUCACUAGAGUGUGGUAGAGGAUAGUGGAAUUUCCGGUGUAGCAGUGAAAUGCGUAGAGAUCGGAAGGAACAUCUGUGGCGAAGGCGACCACCUGGGCUCAUACUGACACUGAGGUGCGAAAGCGUGGGGAGCAAACAGGGUUAGAUACCCCGGUAGUCCCUGUCUCUUAUAC
rnacentral:rRNA from 1 species